rnacentral:tRNA from 1 species
GCCAGGAGAGCAUGGGUGGUGCAUGCACUCGACUUGUAAUCGGGACUUCGUGGGUUCAAAUCCCACUCCUGGCU